CAAGUCGAGCGGCAGCGACAUAAACAAUCCUUCGGGUGCGUUUAUGGGCGGCGAGCGGCGGACGGGUGAGUAAUGCCUGGGAAUAUGCCCUGAUGUGGGGGAUAACCAUUGGAAACGAUGGCUAAUACCGCAUAAUCUCUUCGGAGCAAAGAGGGGGACCUUCGGGCCUCUCGCGUCAGGAUUAGCCCAGGUGAGAUUAGCUAGUUGGUGAGGUAAGAGCUCACCAAGGCGACGAUCUCUAGCUGGUCUGAGAGGAUGAUCAGCCACACUGGAACUGASACACGGUCCAGACUCCUACGGGAGGCAGCAGUGGGGAAUAUUGCACAAUGGGGGAAACCCUGAUGCAGCCAUGCCGCGUGUGUGAAGAAGGCCUUCGGGUUGUAAAGCACUUUCAGUCGUGAGGAAGGCAURUGCGUUAAUAGCGCAUGUGUUUGACGUUAGCGACAGAAGAAGCACCGGCUAACUCCGUGCCAGCAGCCGCGGUAAUACGGAGGGUGCGAGCGUUAAUCGGAAUUACUGGGCGUAAAGCGCAUGCAGGCGGCUUGUUAAGCCAGAUGUGAAAGCCCGGGGCUCAACCUCGGAAUAGCAUUUGGAACUGGCAGGCUAGAGUCUUGUAGAGGGGGGUAGAAUUUCAGGUGUAGCGGUGAAAUGCGUAGAGAUCUGAAGGAAUACCGGUGGCGAAGGCGGCCCCCUGGACAAAGACUGACGCUCAGAUGCKAAAGCGUGGGGAGCAAACAGGAUUAGAUACCCUGGUAGUCCACGCCGUAAACGAUGUCUACUUGGAGGUUGGUGCCUUGAGCACUGGCUUUCGGAGCUAACGCGUUAAGUAKACCGCCUGGGGAGUACGGUCGCAAGAUUAAAACUCAAAUGAAUUGACGGGGGCCCGCACAAGCGGUGGAGCAUGUGGUUUAAUUCGAUGCAACGCGAGAACCUUACCUACUCUUG
rnacentral:rRNA from 1 species